rnacentral:rRNA from 1 species
CCUACGGGGGGCAGCAGUAGGGAAUCUUCCACAAUGGACGAAAGUCUGAUGGAGCAACGCCGCGUGAGUGAAGAAGGGUUUCGGCUCGUAAAGCUCUGUUGGGAGGGAAGAAAGGUAGAGGUAGGGAAUGGGCUUUAUUUGACGGUAAUUUCUUAGAAAGUCACGGCUAACUACGUGCCAGCAGCCGCGGUAAUACGUAGGUGGCGAGCGUUGUCCGGAUUUAUUGGGCGUAAAGCGGGAGCAGGCGG